AAAAAAUAUAAUAAAGUAUAAUUGGUAGCAUGAUUAGGUCAAGCAUUUUCUACAGUAGAAAAAUGUUUUAGACAGAAACACUGUUUAUGAAGAGUUGUUCAUUGUUCCCAUAUAAAUGUGUCUCUUACCUCUUUCUGUCCAAGGGAGGUGGAGGGAGGUGGCCUGAAUGGGAUGGUGUAUUAUUAUCCAGAUAAUAGAAUCCAGAUAGAGAAUUGGUUACUGUAUGCAGGAGCAAAUCCCUAAUGUGACUGCUGCCCACUGAAGACCAAAUAGCUCUCCUGAUGCAGUCAAAGAAGCUGGAAAAUGUCCUGGUGGCAAUAACUGUUUCUGCAGCCUAGCUGCUCCGGAUCCCUCUGAGACAAGCGCUCAGCAUCCCUGCUACGUGGACCAUAUUAGUCUGGCACCUCCGUCCGUAGCUAUGUGCCCAUGCUGCUGGAAGCACUUUGCUGGCGUAGCGGUGCACAGGGCUGCCAAAGCUGCCUCAGGGUGGCACACGAACAAAACAAAAC
rnacentral:lncRNA from 1 species